rnacentral:lncRNA from 1 species
CACAGGUGAAAGAGUUUGAGUGCACAGGUGUGCGUGCGUGUGAGCGUGCGUGCGUGCGUGCGAGAAGGUCAGAGUGCGCCGCGUGUCCGUAAGUGAAAGUGCGCGUUUUUGUGUUCAGAUGGAGGACGCCCCCAGCUCCCAGAAGAGCGGGCGACUUUCUUCCUCUCACGACUUGGGGAGAGGAGGAGGAGGACCGUUUCCGACGUGGACAGGUUUCGACGUCUUAGGGGUCCAGGUAAAGGCGAUUCAAUUAUGGGAUAUGAGGCUGGUCAGGAAGCAUGAGAGCCUGCACCAUCCUGCAGGCCACAGAGACCUUCGGUGGACAGUUCUGAAUGGGAUAAAGCCUGCAGGCCAGUACUCCCAUGAGAGCUCUUCUCCCACAGGCUGACAUCAGGCUGCCACAGCCACCAGCUCCCCAAGUGGCUUCCUGGAUGAGAGAGAGCUGGAGAACAGGUGGGCUGCCCAGAGGCCAGAGCUGGACUUGAACUGAGGGCCUGCGUGGCCUGAACAAGCGGUGACCAGGACUAUAAUCCAGGGCACCCAUGGAGGCUUUCAAGGUUGGCCAGAUUCUCUGCAAACUCAGAUCCAGUCCUGGGCUGGGCCAGUUCUUGAGUGUGAACUCCUGAGAUCCAGCCUAGCACUGUUCUGGGAGUAGCAGCAGUUGUCACCUUCUCCAAAUCCACUGGCCUUUUAAAAAAUAGUUGGAAUUAAGUGAAUCGACUGACAAGGGAUUAAUCUCCAAAAUUUAUAAACACCUUCUGCAGCUCCAUACCAAAAAAACAAACAACCCCAUCCAAAAAUUGGCAGAAGAUCUAAACAGACAGUUCUCCAAAGAAGACAUACAGAUGGCUGAGAAAUACAUGAAAAGAUGUUCAACAUCACUCAUUAUUAGAGAAAUGCAAAUCAAAACCACUAUGAGGUACCACCUUAUACCAGCCAGAAUGGCCAUCAUCCAAAAGUCUACAAACAAGAAGUGCUGGAGAGGGUGUGGAGAAAAAAGAACCCUAUGACACUGUUGGUGGGAUUGUAAAUUGGUGAAACCACUGUGGAAAGCAGUACGGAGAUUCCUCAGAAAACUAAACAUAGAACUACCAUUUGAUCCAGCAAUCCCACUCCUGGACAUCUACCCAGAGAAAACCACGACUCGAAAAGACACAUGUACUCCGAUGUUCAUUGACGCACUCUUUGCAAUAGCCAAGACAUGGAAACAACCUAAAUGUCCAUCGACAGAGGAGUGGAUCCAGAAGAUGUGGUACAUAUACACAAUGGAGUAUUACUCUGCCAUUAAAAGGAACGAAAUGGACCAACAUGGAUGGACCUAGAAACUAUCAUGCUAAGUGAAGUCAGCCAUACAAUGAGACACCAACAUCAAAUGCUUUCAGUGACAU